UACGUAGGCAGCAAGCGUUGUUCGGAGUUACUGGGCGUAAAGGGUGUGUAGGCGGUUCCUUAAGUUUGCUGUAAAAUCUCCCGGCUUAACCGGGAGGGUGCGGUGAAUACUGAGGGACUAGAGUACGGGAGAGGAAAGUGGAAUUCCUGGUGUAGCGGUGAAAUGCGUAGAUAUCAGGAGGAACACCGGUGGUGUAGACGGCUUUCUGGACCGUAACUGACGCUGAAACACGAAAGCGUGGGUAGCAAACAGG
rnacentral:rRNA from 1 species